rnacentral:lncRNA from 1 species
GAUGGGAUUGGAAUGGAGAUGGGAAUGGGAUUGGGAUGGGAUGGGGAUGGGAUUGGAAUGGGGAUGGGAAUGGGAUUGGGAUUGGGAUGGGAUUGGAAUGGGGAUGGGAAUGGGAUUGAUAGAGGAUCAGGAUGGGAAUGGGAUUGGGAUUGGAAUUAGGAUUGGAAUGGGAUGGGAUGGGAUGGGAAUGGAAUGGAGAUGGGAAUGGGAUUGAUAGAGGAUGGGGAUGGGAAUGGGAUUGGGAUGGGAUGGAAUGGGAAUGGGAAUGGGAAUGGGAAUGGGAAUGGGAUUGGGAUUGGGAUUGGGAUGGGAUGGGGAUGGGGAUGGGAAUGGAAUGGGGAUGGGAAUGGGAUUGGGAUUAGGAUGGGAUGGGGAUGGGAUUGGAAUGGGGAUGGGAAUGAUAGGGGAGGGGGGUGGGAAUGGGAUUGGGAUUGGGAUUGGGAUUGAGAUUGGGGCUGGGACUGGGAUUGGGAUUGGGAUUGGGAUGGGAUGGGAUGGGAUGGGAAAGGAAUGAGAUGGGAUGGGGUUUAGGAAUGGGGCUGGGGUUGGGGAUGGGUUUGGGAUGAAGACCCCGCAGUCUGGGACACCCCAUACCCCGCAGACGUGGACGAGUGCCAGGAGCACGGGCCCAGGCUGUGUGGGGCGCAGCGCUGCCAGAACAUCCCGGGCUCGUACCGCUGCGUCCCCGAGUGCCCCCCCGGGUACCGGCUGGGGGACAGCGGGGAGUGUGAGGGUGAGUGGGGAUGGGGGGCGAGGGGGAGCCGGGGGGGGACCCGGCCGUGGGGUUGGGGUUCAAUGGGACCGCCCCAGUGGGGACCCCAAUGAAUGUUCUGUGGUUUUGGGGUUCAGUGGGGCCACACAGUGGGGUUGGGAUGGAGGUGGACAUCGGGGACCAUUCCAUGGGGUUGAGAUUCAAUGGGACCAUUGCAUGGGGUCGGGGUUCAAUGGGACCACUCCAUGGGGUUGGGAUUCAAUGGGACCACUCCAUGGGGUGGGAGUUCAAUGGGACCACCCCAAUGGGGUUGGGAUUCAAUGGGACCACUCCAUGGGUUGGGAUUCAGUGGGACCAUUCCAUGGGGUCGGGAUGGAGGUGGACCCCAAUGACCAUUCCAUGGGGUCAGGGUUCAAUGGGACCACUCCAUGGGUUGGGAUUCAGUGGGACCAUUCCAUGGGGUCGGGAUGGAGGUGGACCCCAAUGACCAUUCCAUGGGGUUGGGAUUCAAUGGGACCAUUCCAUGGGGUCGGGAUGGAGGUGGACCCCAAUGACCAUUCCAUGGGGUCGGGGUUCAAUGGGACCACCCCAAUGGGGUUGGGAUUCAAUGGGACCAUUCCAUGGGGUCGGGAUAGAGGUGGACCCCCGUGACCAUUCCAUGGGGUUGGGAUUCAGUGGGACCAUUCCAUGGGGUCAGGAUGGAGGUGGACCCCAACGACUGUUCCAUGGGGUUGGGAUUCA